UACGUAGGGUGCAGGCGUUAAUCGGAAUUACUGGGCGUAAAGCGUGCGCAGGCGGUUGUGCAAGACAGAUGUGAAAUCCCCGGGCUUAACCUGGGAAUUGCAUUUGUGACUGCACGGCUAGAAUCUGGCAGAGGGGGGUAGAAUUCCACGUGUAGCAGUGAAAUGCGUAGAGAUGUGGAGGAAUACCGAUGGCGAAGGCAGCCCCCUGGGCUAAGAUUGACGCUCAUGCACGAAAGCGUGGGGAGCAAACAGG
rnacentral:rRNA from 1 species